rnacentral:tRNA from 1 species
GGGUUUUUAGUAUAUAUUAGUACAAUCGAUUGCAGAUCGAAUAGAUAAUAAGCCUU